CUCGGUUGAUCCUGUAAGUAGUCAUAAGCUUGUCUAUAAGAUUACUCCAUGCAUGUACAAGUAUGAACUAUUUUAGAGUGUGAAACUACGAAUGGAUCAUUAAAUUAGUUAUAGUUUGUUUGAUAUAGUUUGUUUGAUAGUAUAUGCUACUAGGAUAACAAAGUAAUUGUAUAGCUAAUAAUGCACCAAAUUUUGAAUUUAGGAAGGGAUGCAUUUAUUAGAUAAAAGGUCGACGCGGGCUCUGCCCGUUGCUCGUAUAAUGUAUGCUAUACGAAGUUAUCGACUUCUGGAAGGGAUGCAUUUAUUAGGUAAAAAAUGAUGCUGGCUCUUGUGAGCUACCUUAAUGACUCAUAAUAACUUGUUCGAUCGUACGGUCCUUAUGCCAGUGACACAUCAUUCAAAUAUCUACCUUAUCAACUUUCAAUGGUAGGAUAAGGACCGACCAUGGUGGUGAUAAGUGACAAGGAAUUAAGGUCUAAUUUUGAAGAGGGAGCCUGAGAGAUGGCUACCACAUCCUAGGAAGGUAGCAGACACUCAAAUUACCCAAUUCUAACAUGGGGGGGUAGUGAUAAUAAAUUAUAAUAUUUGUCUCUUCAAGUUUCGUAAUUGAAAUGAGUACAAUCUAAACCCCUUAAUGAGGAUCUAUUGAUGGUCAAGUAUGGUGCUAGCAACUACAAUAAUUCUAGCUCCAAUAGCGUAUAUUCAAGUUGUUGCAGUUAAAAAGCUCAUAGUUAGACCUUGGGAUGGGACGGUCGGUUCACCUCCUCGGUGUGCACCGCUCUCCUCGUCCCUUAUGUCAGCAAUGCUUUCUUGGACUUUAUUGGCUAGGUCAUGCCUCCAGUGCUAUUACUUUGAAUAAAUUAGAGUGCUCAAAGCAAGCCCAUGCUCUAGAUACGUUAGCAUGGGAUAACACCGUAGGAUUUCAAUCUUAUUGUCUUUGCCUUCAGGAUCAGAGUAAUGAUUAAGAGUGAUAGUUGGGGGCAUUCAUAUUUCAUGGUCAGAAGUGAAACUCUGAGAUUUAUGAAAGAUGGACCACUACGAAAAUAUUUUCCAAGGAUGGUUUAAUUAAUUAAGAAUGAAAUUUGGGUGCUCGAAUAUGAUCAAAUAUCAUCUUAGUCUCAAACAUAAAUGAUGCCAACCAGGGAUCAGCAUAUGUUAAUUUUAGAACUCCACUGACAACUCAUGAGAAAAUAAAGUAUUUGGGUUCCAUCAAAUACAAUCAUAGCCUAAGAAUAUAUAUAUAUAUAAAAGGAUCAGUACAAAAUAAAUUGGGAUCAAACUCCACAGUUUCCUAUGCAUGGAGGUUCAAAAGUCUCUCGGGGAGCACAUCUCCCCUAGCAAAAGCAAAAAUUGCCCUAUCGAUCAUAUAUAGUACAAAAGUCUACCACACAACUUGUAUCCUACGAUCGGUGAAAAAAAAAAUACUUGAGGAAAGCUGAGCAGGAUAGAGAGGUGAUCAACCACUCUCAGCCUCAUGAACAGAGAGUCCUCUCCCAGCAACAUCUGAUACUUUAAAUAACUCUAAGGUAGUUGCCCUCAAUGAUGACUCCCUCUGCAUAUGCCUCAAUAGCUAGAAGGGCUUGCUAAAGUGUAGUAAUCUCCUACAUCUUUGCAUAAAGAAGAGACUGGGCUUGCAGACAAGUUCCCAUAAGAACAAGCAAUUGUCCACCUAAAUCUCGAACCACAUUAACACCAAAAGUAG
rnacentral:rRNA from 1 species